rnacentral:rRNA from 1 species
GACGAACGCUGGCGGCGUGCUUAACACAUGCAAGUCGAACGGAAAGGCCCUGCUUUUGUGGGGUGCUCGAGUGGCGAACGGGUGCGUAACACGUGAGUAACCUGCCCUUGACUUUGGGAUAACUUCAGGAAACUGGGGCUACUACCGGAUAGGAGCUCCUGCUGCAUGGUGGGGGUUGGAUCGUUUCGGCGGUUGGGGAUGGACUCGCGGCUUAUCAGCUUGUUGGUGGGGUAGUGGCUUACCAAGGCUUUGAACGGUCGCCGGCCUGAGAGGGUGACCGGCCACAUGGGGACUGAGGUACGGCGCAGACUCCUACGGGAGGCAGCAGUGGGGAAUAUUGCACAAUGGGCGGAAGCCUGAGGCAGCAACGCCGCGUGCGGGAUGACGGCCUUCGGGUUGUAAACCGCUUUCGGCUGUGACGAAGCGUGAGUGACGGUAAUGGGUAAAGAAGCACCGGCUAACUACGUG